CAUAGCAACAGUACAUAUUCUGUAUGGGUUACCAGAUAAACAAAUAGCAAAGUUACAACGGCUCCAGAAUUCCGCAGCAAGACUUACUUUUAGGAUUCCAAGAUUUCAUCACAUUUCACCAAUUUUGCGUAAGCUUCA